rnacentral:rRNA from 1 species
GAUGAACGCUAGCUACAGGCUUAACACAUGCAAGUCGAGGGGCAGCAUUUCAGUUUGCUUGCAAACUGGAGAUGGCGACCGGCGCACGGGUGAGUAACACGUAUCCAACCUGCCGAUAACUCGGGGAUAGCCUUUCGAAAGAAAGAUUAAUACCCGAUGGUAUAAUCAGACCGCAUGGUCUUGUUAUUAAAGAAUUUCGGUUAUCGAUGGGGAUGCGUUCCAUUAGGCAGUUGGUGAGGUAACGGCUCACCAAACCUUCGAUGGAUAGGGGUUCUGAGAGGAAGGUCCCCCACAUUGGAACUGAGACACGGUCCAAACUCCUACGGGAGGCAGCAGUGAGGAAUAUUGGUCAAUGGGCGCAGGCCUGAACCAGCCAAGUAGCGUGAAGGAUGACUGCCCUAUGGGUUGUAAACUUCUUUUAUAUGGGAAUAAAGUUUUCCACGUGUGGAAUUUUGUAUGUACCAUAUGAAUAAGGAUCGGCUAACUCCGUGCCAGCAGCCGCGGUAAUACGGAGGAUCCGAGCGUUAUCCGGAUUUAUUGGGUUUAAAGGGAGCGUAGGUGGACAGUUAAGUCAGUUGUGAAAGUUUGCGGCUCAACCGUAAAAUUGCAGUUGAUACUGGCUGUCUUGAGUACAGUAGAGGUGGGCGGAAUUCGUGGUGUAGCGGUGAAAUGCUUAGAUAUCACGAAGAACUCCGAUUGCGAAGGCAGCUCACUGGACUGCAACUGACACUGAUGCUCGAAAGUGUGGGUAUCAAACAGGAUUAGAUACCCUGGUAGUCCACACAGUAAACGAUGAAUACUCGCUGUUUGCGAUAUACAGUAAGCGGCCAAGCGAAAGCAUUAAGUAUUCCACCUGGGGAGUACGCCGGCAACGGUGAAACUCAAAGGAAUUGACGGGGGCCCGCACAAGCGGAGGAACAUGUGGUUUAAUUCGAUGAUACGCGAGGAACCUUACCCGGGCUUAAAUUGCAUUUGAAUAUAUUGGAAACAGUAUAGCCGUAAGGCAAAUGUGAAGGUGCUGCAUGGUUGUCGUCAGCUCGUGCCGUGAGGUGUCGGCUUAAGUGCCAUAACGAGCGCAACCCUUAUCUUUAGUUACUAACAGGUCAUGCUGAGGACUCUAGAGAGACUGCCGUCGUAAGAUGUGAGGAAGGUGGGGAUGACGUCAAAUCAGCACGGCCCUUACGUCCGGGGCUACACACGUGUUACAAUGGGGGGUACGGAAGGCAGCUACCUGGUGACAGGAUGCUAAUCCCAAAAGCCUCUCUCAGUUCGGAUCGAAGUCUGCAACCCGACUUCGUGAAGCUGGAUUCGCUAGUAAUCGCGCAUCAGCCAUGGCGCGGUGAAUACGUUCCCGGGCCU